rnacentral:lncRNA from 1 species
UGGAAGAAGUCUCCGUUUUUUGUUUUUUUUUGAGACAGAGUCUCCCUCUGUCGCCCAGGCUGCAGUGCAAUGGCGCCAUCUCGGCUCGCUGCAAGCUCCGCCUCCUGGGUUCACGCCAUUCUUCCUCCUCAGCCUCUAGAGUAGCUGGGAUUACAGGCGCCCGCCACCACCCCCGGCUACUUUUUUUGUAUUUUUAGUAGAGACGGGGUUUCACCGUGUUAGCCAGGAUGGUCUCGAUCUCCUGACCUAGUGAUCCGCCCGCCUCGACCUCCCACAGUGCUGGGAUGCCCGCCUCGACCUCCCAAAGUGCUGGGAUUACAGGCGUGAGCCACUGCGCCUGGCCGAAGUCUCCAUUUUAUGGACGUUUCUUUCACUUUUCAUCUGGGAGGAGGAAGGGCUAAAUCAGGAGAGGCUUUUACCAUAGAGAAGUACAGAUGAAGGUAGGCUACACAUGAUAGGCCUAUAGAAGAAGGUAGGCCAUCUACAAGCCAAGGAGAAAGGACUUACAUGAAACCAGCCCUGCCAACGCCCUCUAUCUUUACAUGGUCUUCACUCUGUAAUGAAUAAUAAUUUGGGACAUACUCAUCAACUUCCAGGAGUUUGACAGCAUUCAUUUGCCAAACUGUGUUUGGGUGCAAGGUGCCAGAUAUACAAAG